UACAGAGACUGCAAGCGUUAUUCGGAUUCACUGGGCGUAAAGGGCGCGCAGGCGGUUGGGUGUGUCAGAUGUGAAAUCCCGAGGCUUAACCUCGGAACUGCGUCUGAAACUACUCGACUAGAGUACUGGAGAGGGAAACGGAAUUCACGGUGUAGCAGUGAAAUGCGUAGAUAUCGUGAGGAACACCAGAGGCGAAGGCGGUUUCCUGGACAGUUACUGACGCUCAGGCACGAAAGCAUGGGGAGCAAAAGGG
rnacentral:rRNA from 1 species